ACCCUCUUCCCUUUCCCAUCGGAUCUGAAUGCUGGUCUUGGUGGUCGUAAAGGAGGGAAAGUGAUAGUGAAGCACGCUCAUACUGCCUUGCAGUCUGGCAUAGCAUGUGAGCUUGUUUCAAACAGGA
ensembl:snoRNA Snora61 small nucleolar RNA, H/ACA box 61